rnacentral:rRNA from 1 species
UACAGAGGUCUCAAGCGUUGUUCGGAUUCAUUGGGCGUAAAGGGUGUGUGGGUGGCGCCGUAAGUCGGGUGUGAAAUUUCGGAGCUUAACUCCGAAACUGCAUUCGAUACUGCGGUGCUUGAGGACUGGAGAGGAGACUGGAAUUCAUGGUGUAGCGGUGAAAUGCGCAGAUAUCAGGAGGAACACCCGUGGCGAAAGCGGCUCUCUGGGACGGUACUGACGCUGAGACGCGAAAGCGUGGGGAGCAAACAGG